UACGGAGGAUCCAAGCGUUAUCCGGAUUUAUUGGGUUUAAAGGGUGCGUAGGCGGCUUAUUAAGUCAGGGGUGAAAGACGGUGGCUCAACCAUCGCAGUGCCCUUGAUACUGAUGAGCUUAAAUACACUAGAGGUAGGCGGAAUGUGACAAGUAGCGGUGAAAUGCAUAGAUAUGUCACAGAACACCGAUUGCGAAGGCAGCUUACUAUGGUGUGAUUGACGCUGAGGCACGAAAGCGUGGGGAUCAAACAGG
rnacentral:rRNA from 1 species